rnacentral:rRNA from 8 species
UAAAAAGCUCGUAGUUGGAUCUGUGUAUCGGACGGUCGGUUCGCCGCUCGCGGCGUUUAACUGACCGGUCCGGACGUCCUGCCGGUGGGCGCCGGUUCGCGCCGGGGCCCGUAACUCCCUCCGCGCUGCUCUUAACCGAGUGGUUCGGUGGGCCGGCACGUUUACUUUGAACAAAUUUGAGUGCUCAAAGCAGGCCUUUUGUCGCCUGAAAACUGUGUGCAUGGAAUAAUGGAAUAGGGCCUUGGUUCUAUUUUGUUGGCUUUUCUGAACUCGAGGUAAUGAUUAAUAGGGACAGACGGGGGCAUUCGUAUUGCGACGUUAGAGGUGAAAUUCUUGGAUCGUCGCAAGACGGACGGAUGCGAAAGCGUUUGCCAAGAAUGUUUUCGCUAAUCAAGAACGAAAGUUAGAGGUUCGAAGGCGAUCAGAUACCGCCCUAGUUCUAACCAUAAACGAUGCCAGCCAGCGAUGCGCCGAAGUUCCUCCGAUGACUCGGCGCGCAGCUUCCGGGAAACCAAAGCUUUUGGGUUCCGGGG